AUCCUCUGCGGCAGCUUGGCUCAGCAGAGCAGCAGACUGCCCUGCUUGCCAGGCCAGCCGCACCCUACCUGCUUUCUGCUACGGAGACCCCAGCCCAGCACCGGCCCGAGGAGCCAGAGCCUGCUUCUGGUCCAGGCCAGCCAGACCCUCCAGGCCACCGAACACAAGGCAGCCAGGCCAGUGCUUCCCCACCUCCCUCUCGGGCUUGGCUCCUCUCCUCUACCUCUCGGGUCCUCGCCUGGCACCUGCAGUGACCCCCUGCCUGGCCAGGCCCUGGGACCGACCCUCUCUUCCUUCUAAGCCCCUGCCACCUGGUCACCACCCCCAGCCCUCUCAGUCCCCCCACCUCGGCUCCGGCCAUGAAGACCCCCUCAGGGCCGGAGGAGGCCCGGCGGCCCGCCUCAGACAUCCGCGUGUUCGCCAGCAGCUGCACACUGCACGGGCUGGGCCAUGUCUUCGGCCCGGGGAGCCUGACCCCGCGCCGGGGGCUGUGGGCUGUGGCUGUGCUCCUGUCGCUGGCUGCCUUCCUCUACCAGGUGGCAGAGAGGGUGCGUUACUACGGGGAGUUCCACCAUGAGACAGCCCUGGACGAGCGUGAGAGCCACCAGCUCACCUUCCCGGCUGUCACCCUGUGCAACAUCAACCCACUGCGCCGCUCACGCCUCACACCCAACGACCUGCACUGGGCUGGGCCAGCGCUGCUGGGCCUGGAGCCCGCCGAGCACGCCGCCUUCCUGCGCGCCCUGGGCCGGCCCCCCACGUCACCCGGCUUUAUGCCCAGUCCCACCUUCGACAUGGCCCGACUCUAUGCCCGGGCAGGGCACACGCUGGAGGACAUGCUGCUGGACUGCCGCUACCGCGGCCAACCGUGCGGGCCGGAGAACUUCACCGCGAUCUUCACCCGGAUGGGUCAGUGCUACACCUUCAACUCUGGCGCCAAUGGGGCAGAGCUUCUCACCACCCCCAAGGGCGGCGCGGGCAAUGGGCUGGAGGUCAUGCUGGACGUGCAGGAGGAUGAGUACCUGCCCGUGUGGAAGGACGUGGAGGAGACCCCAUUUGAGGUGGGAAUCCGAGUGCAGAUCCACAGCCAGGAGGAGCCACCCAUCAUCGACCAGCUGGGCUUUGGGGUGGCCCCUGGCUACCAGACUUUUGUGUCCUGCCAGCAGCAGCAACUGAGCUUCCUGCCAGCGCCCUGGGGCGACUGCAGCUCGAGAUCUCUGGACCCCGACUUUGACUCCGAACCCUCUGAUCCCCUGGGUGCCCCCGGCCCCACUCCAGGCCCCAGGCCUCCCUAUAGUCUAAUGGGGUGUCGCCUGGCCUGUGAGACCCGCUACGUGGCUCGGAAAUGCGGCUGCCGAAUGAUGCAUAUGCCAGGUGGCGCUCCCGUGUGCAGCCCCCAGCAGUACAAGGAUUGCGCCAACCCCGCGCUGGAUGCCAUGCUGCGGAAGGACGCGUGCACCUGCCCCAACCCGUGCGCCAGCACGCGCUACGCCAAGGAGCUCUCCAUGGUGCGGAUGCCGAGCCGCCCUGCCACCCGCUACCUGGCCCGGAAAUACAACCGCAGCGAGGCCUACAUCGCGGACAACGUGCUGGUACUAGACAUCUUCUUUGAGGCCCUCAACUACGAGACAGUGGAGCAGAAGAAGGCCUAUGAGGCGACAUUGGGGGCCAGAUGGGGCUCUUCAUCGGGGCCAGCCUGCUCACCAUCCUUGAGAUCCUGGACUACCUCUGUGAGGUAUUCCGAGACAGGGUCCUGGGAUACUUCUGGAACCGAAAGCGCUCCCAAAAGCACUCCAGCACCAAUCUGCUUCAGGAAGGGAUGGGCAGCCAUCGAAAUGAAGUGCCCCAUCUCAGCUUGGGCCCCAGCAGGCCUCCCACACCUCCCUGUGCCGUCACCAGGAGUCUUUCUGCCUCCCACCGCACCUGCUACCUCGUCACACGGCUCUAGACCCGAUGUCUGUGUCUUCAGGGCCGCACCUUGCCAUCCUGGACAUGCCCAGCCUGCACAUAACUUUGCUGUCUUCACCCCAAUAAAGUUCUCAGCUGUUCAUCAGUCUCAGCUACUCCUCUUACAGGCAGACUAGUCAGGCCAAAGUUAGCACACUCAGGCACAAGAGCUCUGCCAGCCAUCAUCUAGAGGACAUGGUGUCUGAAAUAUGGGAGGGAUCUGAGUUAACCUCCAGAAAUCCCUCUGGGAGAGAACAGGGCAAGAGCACCAGUUGUUUGCAUCUCAGUGAGAAUGAGUUUGUCAGACUGACAGCUCAGAGAGAAUGGAACCUCACGUCAUGUGUCCGCGUGGAGAGGAGUCAGUGGCAGGGUAGUCCCAUUUGGGGGAUUGUAGGGAAUGGCUGGAAGAAGGCUCUGACCCAGAGCCUGGUAAGAAGUGGGAGAGCAAGCAGCGAGAAGGUAGAGGGACUCCCCACUUCCUAGAACACAAGCCGUGUCCUGCCUUACUUAGAUCAUGCCUUUUUCCCACAUUUAGGACCAAGCUCCAGCACACCCCGUCUCCAUGGGAACAGGUCUCGUUUUCCCAGCCUGCCCACAACAGAGGCCCCAGGCCAGGAACUACAGAUACAGAAGUGAAUUGCUUUGACCUACAUCCUGAUGUCCGUGGUCCUGAUGACCAGCCAGCCUUCCCCGACUCCCACAGAUUGUUCUGCUGCUCCUUUUGGCUCCUUUUGGCUGGAGGAGCAUCUCCUUGGCUUCUUCCCCCAGGGAGCCCUCCAUGUCUACAUGUCACACACUCUCCAGCUGGAAGCAUGCUGCUGCACUGUGACAACCAGGGGCGUCCCUCAGAAGCCCUGCAGCCCCUCUCCAUUCUGGCUUAGUCCAUCGCCACCCUCGCUCUCUGCAUUCUGAGCUCCACAGCUUGUCACUCCCCCUCCAGAGGGCCCCCGACGCAUGGAAAUGGAAGGGUAUCGGAA